UCAGUCCAUGUCGCUUCGCAUUCACUUCCGGGGUGAAACAAACAAAAACGAAAGGCUACCACUGUAGGGCAGGCGAACAAGCAACUGUCGACCAAACCUGCGUGCACACACACUCACACACACACACACACACACACACACACACACGUUCCUCUCUUUUUCCAAAAAGCCCUCACGGUAAAUAGCCAGGCAGACAAAAGCCUGGGUUUCCGUAUUGCUUUUGUAUGCAGUGGCAGGAAGCAGUUGUCAGCUGCAUCAGUGAAAAAUAACAACGGCAAACACUCAGACACCCAGACACAUGCCACAAUGUUCCCGUGGAAAUCAAACUCUGAGAAAUUUUUAAAAUGUUUUCAACACAUCAGCAUGAAGCAUCGACCUAGUUGGAAUCACUUAGAUCUAAAGCAAAUGCACUGAUUGUUUUCACAGCAGGCUUUUCUUCUUGGAGCUGAAACAGGCGCACUGGCGAGGCUGGCAAGGAACGGUUUUCCAGCCCCCUGCCUUGGUCGGCUAUAGCCUGUGACACGAUCAAUACCGGGGCGAGCGGCGGAGGAAGCUCAGGGAAGAUUAUGAAGAUGAGAGAGGAGUUUUAAGCCUCAGUGUGGUUAAUCAUCUCCAUCACCCUUGUCAUCUGCAUCACCCUCGUCAUCCCAUCACCCUCGUCAACUCCAUCACCCUCAUCUCCAUCACCCUCGUCAUCUGCAUCACCCUCGUCAUCCCAUCACCCUCGUCAACUCCAUCCCCCUCAACUCCAUCACCCUCGUCAUCUGCAUCACCCUCGUCAUCCCAUCCCCCUCGUCAUCUCCAUCCCCCUCAACUCCAUCACCCUCGUCAUCUGCAUCACCCUCGUCAUCCCAUCACCCUCGUCAACUCCAUCCCCCUCAACUCCAUCCCCCUCGUCAUCUCCAUCACCCUCGUCAACUCCAUCACCCUCGUCAACUCCAUCACCCUCGUCAACUCCAUCCCCCUCGUCAUCUGCAUCCCCCUCGUCAUCCCAUCCCCCUCGUCAUCUCCAUCCCCCUCAACUCCAUCACCCUCGUCAUCUGCAUCCCCCUCGUCAUCCCAUCCCCCUCGUCAACUCCAUCCCCCUCAACUCCAUCACCCUCGUCAUCUGCAUCCCCCUCGUCAUCCCAUCCCCCUCGUCAUCUCCAUCCCCCUCAACUCCAUCACCCUCGUCAUCUGCAUCACCCUCGUCAUCUGCAUCACCCUCAACUCCAUCACCCUCAACUCCAUCACCCUCGUCAACUCCAUCACCCUCAUCAUCUGCAUCACCACUAUCUGCAUCACCAUCAUCAUCAUGUCUCCCAACCCAUCACCCAUUCUCCACAACCUUCAAGUCUUAGCUUAAACAUGGCCUUCUUGCAUUUCCCCAUCUAAAUUCGGAUGCCCACAUUCAAUCAUAAUUCACCAU
rnacentral:lncRNA from 1 species